UGCACGUGAGAACUCGGGAUCUACCUUUCAUACGUCAUCAUCAGCUGAGAAAGAAGACGUGAAGGAUGCCAUUGAAUAUUAUGGGGUGUGGGUUGAGAAGAAAAAAGCAAAGAAAGAUGUUCAAGAGCACAGGCGGUGGCAAAACAGGAAUGUCUGGAUAAAUUAAAUACACCACCAGGCAACAUGACUAAUUGGCAAAUGAAGCAAAAGAUUACUCUAAGGAAGAACGCCUGUUUGAAAAUGGAGAAUGAAAACACUAUAGAAGAAAAAAACAAAAAGAGUUUUUCAUCUGGGGAGAGCUCAAAAUUGAUUAAAAUGCCAAUGAAAGGUUGCCCUGAAUGCCAAAGGUGCAAAGGAAAGUAAAAGACAGCCUUCAAAGCAGAAGGCUCAUCAGCAGAUGAGCUCUUCCAGUGGCAAUCAUGGUCAAGUACCGGACGAUAGCACUUCCAGUGAAACGUCUCAGGAUGAAGGAAGACCUGCAGCAACAACCGGGAGUGAAAAGAACAAGGU